CAAACUGGGGGAGAGAAGGGAAAACGGGUCAGUGUCAGCUGGGACAGCUGGGAGCACCACCUGGGAACGGAAACCUCUUUCCAGCACAAAGCUAAGAACUUGGGAAUGUUGUCACAGACCAUCUUCUCCCCAAAGCUUGCUGUGUAAGGUCAUGCAUAGCAGCUGGGAAAUUCCAUUUGCCAUAGAGAUGACACACAAACUUCACGGCAGUGCUUUAGGAGUAGCUGCACCUCUUGGCUUUUCAAAAUGAAAUCUGGUAAAACAGUGUGUGGGGAAGAGGGAAGGAGUUGUAGCUAUUAAAUAAGGAAAUGCAAUAAUUCCUAUUGCUCUCACACACUAAUCCCAGCUCCCUUAGAAAUUUUGAUUGAAAUAAUAUAACUAUUUUCCUAUUUGCUUUUAAUUUCUCUCUGCCUCAGAGCAUUAAAUGGUCUUUGAGGUCCCUUCCAAGCCAAACCACUCCACAGUUCAAUAAUACAACAAAUCUCUCCCAUCCUCUACAGAUACAAACUGCAGCAAAACCCAAUCCUAUCCCUGCCCUUCCCAUGCCUCUCCAUCCAGAUCUCCAAUUUGAGAGGGAAGGAACAGUUUGUUCUCAUCUCAGCCUGGUGCCAGCUGUCGGCUUUGGCACACCACAGAUGACACAACACCACAGAUGACACAGUGCUGGGAUGUGCUGCCUGCAGUGAGUGUCAGUGAGGCUGGCCAGGAGGAUCCACGUGGUGGGGAUCCCAUGCCAUGCACGGAGCCACCGUCUCACCUGCUUCAGGGUCUUCACACUUUCGUGGAUCGGCCGCGGGAGCCCUAUCAGGGUUUCGGUGUCCCUGGGGAAGAGGAAAGAAGGUCAGAGGAAAGAGGGACAUCCAUCUUCAAACAUUCCCAUGUCAUAACAGGUGCUGGCACCAGAUCUCUCCAUCCUGGAAGGAUCAAGGUCUCAGAUGUUCCUCAGGUAAGGAUUUCCCUCCCUGUUGCCUCCAAAGCACAUGAAUAAUUCCUUCUGUACCUCUAACCUUGCCGCUCUAGGAGUUUGACCCCAUUUUCCACCUUAACUUUUAGGGUUUCCAUCCGACAUCUCUUCCUUACCAAAAAGCAUUUUCAUCCUCAGCCCAUAACACAGCAGCUCCAAGAGCAGAGCUAAAAAAAGAACUUGCUGUGAGCAGUUUGCUCCCCGGUGCUUAUCAGCCCUUUGCCAUAAGGUCAGGAUGUCCUCUGGCUUCCUCUGGAUCAAACACCCCAUGGGGCUGAUCUCUUGCAAUUGAAACUGGUGGAUGAAAAAACUUGGACAUGACCACGUGUGCUGAGAGCCCAAAAACCCCCCAGGCUGGGCUGAGCCCCCGGCGUGGGCAGCAGGGGACGGGGAAUUCUGCCCCACCUGCAGAGCUGC